AUUGCAUUAUAUUAUAGUGUGUUAUUUGAUCAUUCAUCCUACAUUCAAUUUGAACAUUUGUCUGAUACUUGUACCUACUUACCCAUUGAGACAGCCACUGGGCCAGCUAUACAGAUGGCAACCUUGACCACUUUGACCAACCUCCAAAUAAUUUUGGGAAGUUUUAAAAACAGUUCUCAGAGGACAUCCAACUUCCUAUAUGACAAAAUUACAAGCAACGUAAUGAAGUAUUUUCCAAAUCCGACAUAGACUACUUCACCAAUUGCUGCAACUCUUCUGGACAGUUUCAGCAACCGAUCCUAUCCAUGUCAAUUUGGGCAUCUUGCGAUGUUGGAGUGCUAUCAUGAUGAAUGUUUUUUUUUCAGGUAGAGGAUGGGUAUAGCUGAAAAUAAAUGUUAAG